rnacentral:rRNA from 1 species
GAACACCGGUGGCGAAGGCGGCUUACUGGACUGUAACUGACGCUGAGUCACGAAAGCGUGGGUAGCAAACAGGAUUAGAUACCCUGGUAGUCCACGCCGUAAACGAUGAGUGCUAGGUGUUGGGCAGCAAUGCUCAGUGCCGAAGUAAACACAAUAAGCACUCCGCCUGGGGAGUACGUACGCAAGUAUGAAACUCAAAGGAAUUGACGGGGACCCGCACAAGCAGCGGAGCAUGUGGUUUAAUUCGAAGCAACGCGAAGAACCUUACCAAGGCUUGACAUCCCCUUGACAGAUGCAGAGAUGUGUCCUCCUCUUCGGAGGCAAGGGAGACAGGUGGUGCAUGGUUGUCGUCAGCUCGUGUCGUGAGAUGUUGGGUUAAGUCCCGCAACGAGCGCAACCCUUAUCCUUAGUUGCCAGCAUUAAGNUGGGCACUCUAAGGAGACUGCCGGUGAUAAACCGGAGGAAGGUGGGAUGACGUCAAAUCAUCAUGCCCCUUAUGUCUUGGGCUACACACGUGCUACAAUGGUCGGUACAACGGGCAGCNANGGAGCGAUCCGGAGCNAAUCCCAAUAAACCGAUCCCAGUUCGGAUUGCAGGCUGCAACUCGCCUGCAUGAAGUCG